rnacentral:rRNA from 1 species
UACGGAGGGGGCUAGCGUUGUUCGGAAUUACUGGGCGUAAAGAGCUCGUAGGCGGUUUGUCGCGUCUGCUGUGAAAACCUAAGGCUCAACCUUGGGCUUGCAGUGGGUACGGGCAGACUAGAGUGCGGUAGGGGUGACUGGAAUUCCUGGUGUAGCGGUGGAAUGCGCAGAUAUCAGGAGGAACACCGAUGGCGAAGGCAGGUCACUGGGCCGCAACUGACGCUGAGGAGCGAAAGCAUGGGGAGCGAACAGG